UUUAGUUCAUUAAUGGAUCUUGAGAGAGGAAAUGUCAUUGCUGGCUAACAGUGAGCCAUCGGAUUUCAACAAAAGUAUCUUAAUUUGUGUUCCGAAGAUGAACGGAAGUCUUAGGGGUGUGGUACGGCAUGAAGGUGAGUGAUUAAUGACAUUAUUUUCAUUUUUGGGUGAAUUAACCCUUUAAAAGUGCGUUCUUCUUUCUGUGCUUAAACCAAUAGCUACGGUGUUGAGUCGACGCUGCACUGCCAUCUAUCGACGUGGAUCAGCGAAAUCAUUGUUGACUUUAUGUAAAUCACACAGAUAAUAGUGAGUUUUAGGCACAAUUAUUAAUUUACUUACCUGCCUUCCGGCUUCAGACGUUAUAUUCGUUAUCCAGUAGUAGCUACAGAGACGGCAGCCAAUGAGCAUGAGGAUUCUCCAUGACGUUUAGUGAAACUCGGAUCAUGUCAUUCAACAUAGCGAAAUACAUUGAGGGGGGCGACCCGCACCGUAUAUAAUUAAAACACUAUUUUAUGGAAAAGUACUACGACAUUCAAAGUCACUUUAAGGCAAGUCAUUUCACUCGGCGGCCAUAUUUGAAACACUAUUUCAGUCAUGCAAAUACAGCUCCUAUCUCUUUGAAUGGGGAAACAUCAAAUUCUCCAAAGCUCUUCACCAAGCUUACAAUUAAAUUUUAUAUUUGAAAUCACCAAUGAUAUCUGACAACAGUCUCAUAAAUGCUCAAAUCACGACCAUAAAAAAAAAAAAAAUGCAUUUUUCAGACUGGAUCAGCCAAUGCGCAUGUGCAGUCAUAACCUACUUAUUCCGCCAUAUUGUGUUGCACUCUCUCCCAUCAAUAAAUGAGUGCACCAUCAUUGUAAAAUCUUUGGUAGAGCUACUGAAUCUUUAAAGUUACACAUAGAGUUCCCUACCCAUUAUCAACAUGCAUCCCAAGCACAACCCCUGGAAAUAAAGUAGAAAUUAAGGUAGUUGAGUGAAAGCAUUGUAGUUUGUUUAAUUCAUGCUUAGAGAAAGGCGCUGAGGCCAUGGCAAGAAGAUAACAUAUCCAGCAUCCAGUUGACCACAUAAACAUGCUUUAUUUCAACAUCCAAAAUAAUUAAAAACAUCUUGAAAUACUAUACAUGUACAAAAUAAGUACAGAUCCUUUGUUGGAACCAUUGGAGGGUUUAUUUCUUCUGUGUUUUUCUUUUUGCCGCCUCAUUUCAGUUUUUAUAAGAAACCUUUCACUGAAAACAAAUCAAACAAACGAAAAAAACAAACAAAAAAAUAAAAUAGAAAAGAGAUGUGCAUUGCAUUUUGAGAGUAGAAAUAAAAUCUGGAAACGGGGGGAGCGGCAUGUACAGACAAAUAUAAGACUUCUCUAGAAACUUAAGGAAGGGGGAAUUGGAAAUGAGACGAACUGGCAAUCAGUCCAUCCACUUAACCCAUAUCAGAUUAAGUGCAAAUCUACAGUAACCAACCUAUCCAGCUGUUUUAUUGUCCUCUUCCGCUGACACUUUGAUAAGAGCAAUUGCAUCACAUUGACAUCAAGACAUUCUGUUGACAUUUAGCACCAAAAAGGCCCUGCAAGUGUAAGUGACAGUAUAAAAAUGAAUGAGUUUGUUUUCUCUCAAAUACAAACACACCACAGACAGGACCUGGAGAGGAAGUAGCACCUUUAAUACCUGUUACUAAUUCGUUUAUUUUGCUUGAAUAAAAAACUGCCCUUGUUUCCCCCAAAAUCUCCUUACAUGCACUUUUUUGUCCUGAGGUAGCCUUUAUAUCAAGAUGACGUAGUACCACCUAACUCUGUUCCCUGUGUGACGUUUUGAGUUUUUCCUCACUUUCGGUUAGAAGGAACAAGACACUUGGCUGUCGUUUGUCAUAUUUAUUCAACACCAGAGAAUGGUACAUUAGCAUUUGCUUGUUUUUCAUUGUCCUUUUGCAGUGGUCAAAAAAAGUCACUAGGUGGUAGUUUUUCUUUGGACUCCAGGGGGUGGGGCGUUUUACAAGUAUAUAUUACUUUCUUGUUGUCAGCUGACGCAAAGGAUUCUCACUAAGUGUCCAUGAUUGUGAUGCUGGCUGAUGUA